rnacentral:rRNA from 1 species
GAUGAACGCUGGCGGCGUGCCUAAUACAUGCAAGUCGAGCGAACGGACGAGAAGCUUGCUUCUCUGAUGUUAGCGGCGGACGGGUGAGCAACACGUGGAUAACCUACCUAUAAGACUGGGAUAACUUCGGGAAACCGGAGCUAAUACCGGAUAAUAUUUUGAACCGCAUGGUUCAAAAGUGAAAGACGGUCUUGCUGUCACUUAUAGAUGGAUCCGCGCUGCAUUAGCUAGUUGGUAAGGUAACGGCUUACCAAGGCAACGAUGCAUAACCGACCUGAGAGGGUGAUCGGCCACACUGGAACUGAGACACGGUCCAGACUCCUACGGGAGGCAGCAGUAGGGAAUCUUCCGCAAUGGGCGAAAGCCUGACGGAGCAACGCCGCGUGAGUGAUGAAGGUCUUCGGAUCGUAAAACUCUGUUAUUAGGGAAGAACAUAUGUGUAAGUAACUGUGCACAUCUUGACGGUACCUAAUCAGAAAGCCACGGCUAACUACGUG